UACAAGUUUGCUUCUUGUAAUUAUGAAUAUUUUAUUGGUCUAAAUUGCCUUAUGCAUUUACAGUAUACUAUACAGUAUAGCCACUGAACUGGACUUGUUAAAAAGGUGACUGUUUUUCCCUCCAGAUUAUAGAGAACUUGGAGCUGUUACAGUCGUUGUUAUCGUCACACCGCAGCCGCCAGCGGGAAGUUAAUGAACUACUAAAUAGAGAACCAUUGCUGGUGGGUGAAGGUCAGAGUGACAGUGACUCUCAAGAAACACCAAGGGGUAGAGGGAGGAGCUCUCGUGAAGCACCAGAUGGUGAAGAAUCAGCAAGGGGUGCUUCCAAACGCUCUCAGAGUCUGGUGCGUCAGGGAACUUUUAAUGUUUAUGAACAAGAUACAGCUGUGGCCACCAUCCAUGCUGCUCUGGAUGCUCAUCUGACCAGGACGAAAUGUGUGUGAAGGACGUUACUACUGCAGCAGUAACCAGGGCCGGAUUUACCUACUUGUGGGCCCCAGGCCAAACUCAUCAGUGGGCCCCCAUAUUUAUAGAAAUGUUUGCAUGUUUCAAAAAAAAAAAAAAAAAAAUGUCAUCAAAUAUUACAUAAAAUCAUAAUAUUAUAAUGUAAGAAAUGAGAAUUUCAACAAAUGUGACACAUCAUUUCUUUUAAUCAAAUUAGUUCUAUAUCAUGUACAUCUUAUAUAUGGGAAAAAUUAAAGAAAUAUACUUGAAGAAUAAUCAAUUUUGCAAGCACAUGAAGUACAGCAAACUGUGUGAAUUUCAAAAUAAAUUCUUCCUACUUUUU